rnacentral:rRNA from 1 species
UACGGAGGGUGCAAGCGUUAUCCGGAUUCACUGGGCUUAAAGGGUGCGUAGGCGGAUAUGUAAGUCCGUGGUGAAAUCUCUGGGCUUAACCCGGAAACUGCCAUGGAUACUAGGUGUCUUGAAUGUUGUUGAGGUGAGCGGAAUAUGUCAUGUAGCGGUGAAAUGCUUAGAUAUGACAUAGAACACCAAUUGCGAAGGCAGCUCACUAAGCAAAUAUUGACGCUGAGGCACGAAAGCGUGGGGAUCAAACAGG